GUACUCUCACACUCUCUGAUCCUUUGGAUCUGGGGAGCGGUGGACUUGGGUGCUUGCUGCUUCCUUGUGGCUCACCUGAAAUGCAUCAGUGCAUCUCUUGAUUGGACAUAGUACGGCGUGAUAAGUGUCUUCGCCGGCACCUCAUUAGAGGGUGGCCAAUUGGGGGCUCUGUGCUUUCAAACUGUCUUCGGACAAUCUCUGACA
rnacentral:misc_RNA from 1 species